GAUGAAGAACGCAGCGAAAUGCGAUACUUGGUGUGAAUUGCAGAAUCCCGCGAAUCAUCGAGUUUUUGAACGCAAGUUGCGCCCGAAGCCAUUCGGCCGAGGGCACGUCUGCCUGGGUGUCACGCAUCGUUGCCCCCCCCCAAACUUCGGUUCGGGCGGGGCAGAAGUUGGCCUCCCGUGCGUGCCUGCGCGUGCGGUUAGCCCAAAAGCGAGUCCUCGGCGACGAGCGCCACGAAAAUCGGUGGUUUUUUUGCCCUCGUUCCUCGUCGUGCGUGCCCCGUCGCCCGAACGCGCUCUUGCGACCUUCAGGCGUCGCCUCGGUGGCGCUCCCAACGCGACCCCAGGUCAGGCGGGACUACCCGCUGAGUUUAAGCAUAUCAAUAAGCGGAGGA
rnacentral:misc_RNA from 1 species